rnacentral:lncRNA from 1 species
UUUUUUUUUUUUUUUUUUUUUUUUUUUUUUUUUUUUUUUUUUUUUUUUUUUUUUUUUUUUUUUUUUUUUUUUUUUUUUUUUUUUUUUUUUUUUUUUUUUUUUUUUUUUUUUUUUUUUUUUUUUUUUUUUUUUUUUUUUUUUUUUUUUUUUUUUUUUUUUUUUUUUUUUUUUUUUUUUUUUUUUUUUUUUUUUUUUUUUUUUUUUUUUUUUUUUUUUUUUUUUUUUUUUUUUUUUUUUUUUUUUUUUUUUUUUUUUUUUUUUUUUUUUUUUUUUUUUUUUUUUUUUUUUUUUUUUUUUUUUUUUUUUUUUUUUUUUUUUUUUUUUUUUUUUUUUUUUUUUUUUUUUUUUUUUUUUUUUUUUUUUUUUUUUUUUUUUUUUUUUUUUUUUUUUUUUUUUUUUUUUUUUUUUUUUUUUUUUUUUUUUUUUUUUUUUUUUUUUUUUUUUUUUUUUUUUUUUUUUUUUUUUUUUUUUUUUUUUUUUUUUUUUUUUUUUUUUUUUUUUUUUUUUUUUUUUUUUUUUUUUUUUUUUUUUUUUUUUUUUUUUUUUUUUUUUUUUUUUUUUUUUUUUUUUUUUUUUUUUUUUUUUUUUUUUUUUUUUUUUUUUUUUUUUUUUUUUUUUUUUUUUUUUUUUUUUUUUUUUUUUUUUUUUUUUUUUUUUUUUUUUUUUUUUUUUUUUUUUUUUUUUUUUUUUUUUUUUUUUUUUUUUUUUUUUUUUUUUUUUUUUUUUUUUUUUUUUUUUUUUUUUUUUUUUUUUUUUUUUUUUUUUUUUUUUUUUUUUUUUUUUUUUUUUUUUUUUUUUUUUUUUUUUUUUUUUUUUUUUUUUUUUUUUUUUUUUUUUUUUUUUUUUUUUUUUUUUUUUUUUUUUUUUUUUUUUUUUUUUUUUUUUUUUUUUUUUUUUUUUUUUUUUUUUUUUUUUUUUUUUUUUUUUUUUUUUUUUUUUUUUUUUUUUUUUUUUUUUUUUUUUUUUUUUUU